UCGUGAGGAACCAAACGUUUUUUUUUUUUUAUUUACUCCAGAUGAUUCACUAAACGUUUGGUUGUCGCGUUAAAUGUAUUAAUCACAAUUAAGUUUAGACCCAAUUAGUGAAUCUGCGCAAGUGCUGUUCAUUAAUUAACUUAAAAACAAUUCAGCUUUGUUUUAGAUAGUUUACAAUUUGCAAAACGCGACUACCUGCUUCACUUUUUUUGGGUUCAUUCACAAUCCCUAAUGGAUCUGGAGAGAAAUGGAUGAAGAUGCAUCGCUUGAGACCUACUUUGACCAGUCAAUUGCUGGUUCUUCUGAGUACAUGUUUGGAGGGGAUUUGGAAGGCCCGCCACAGCUUCAGGAUCCCUCUUUCCUCUCCUCUUCCAUCUCCAACCAACAGAAAGAUGAGGAUGAUGAUCUGGACCUGAGCUUUCUACCUGAUGAGCUAAACGUUCAGGAUGAAGGAGAGAACACAGGAGUGGGUCUUACAGAGGACAGUGGUGUUUAUCUGGACUGUUCAACUGCAAGACCUGAAGCAGACACUGAAGUUAAUACGAGGCAGCCUGCAGCCUCCCCCUUCUGCAACCUCCCCAUGACACCCAUGACACCCAUGACCCCAGUGGCUCCUGUGGCAGAAAGUUCAGGAAUCAUCCCACAAUUACAGAAUAUAGUGUCCACAGUAAACCUGGCAUGUCCUCUAGACCUGAAAGCAAUUGCCCUUCAAGCUCGAAAUGCUGAGUACAAUCCAAAGCGCUUUGCUGCUGUAAUUAUGCGGAUCCGUGAACCCAGGACCACUGCCCUUAUCUUCAGCUCAGGAAAAAUGGUCUGCACUGGCGCAAAGAGUGAGGAGCAGUCUCGCCUUGCUGCAAGGAAGUAUGCCCGGGUGGUACAGAAGCUUGGCUUCCCAGCCAAAUUUCUUGACUUCAAGAUCCAGAACAUGGUCGGCAGUUGUGAUGUGUGUUUCCCCAUACGGUUGGAAGGCCUGGUUCUGACUCACCAACAGUUCAGCAGCUAUGAACCUGAAUUGUUUCCUGGUUUGAUCUACCGAAUGGUGAAGCCACGGAUUGUCCUCCUGAUAUUUGUGUCUGGAAAGGUUGUUCUUACAGGUGCAAAAGAUCGCUCUGAAAUAUAUGAAGCUUUUGAGAAUAUCUACCCAAUUCUGAAAGGAUUCAGGAAACAGUGAAAAACGAGCACUUCUACGUUUUAUUGAGUUCUGAUAUGUCAAUAUAUAAGCGAGAUCCAUGUUGACGUUUGCCAAGGUUGGAGUGGGAAAACCUGAGUGUCCUGCACACAGCCCUGACCCUGAGCCCGGAGGCACUUGAGCACUGACUACCCUCAGGGUGAACUGGAAUGCUGUAUGCACCCUAGUGCCUGAUGUCCCUGAUUCCUUCAGAAACACUACCUUUCAGAAGAGUUGUGUUAAUUAUAACAGCAAAAUAAAAGCCACUCCAAAUCUUGAAUGGGAUUCUCAAAAAGCAUUUACAUGGGGUCAAUGUACAGGUUUUUACCAUAGUGAAAUUUAACCAUAUCAUUGAGUUUGACUUUGGCAUAACUGCACACUUGUUUUUCAUUGAAAAUAUAAGAAAGGGAAGACCAAUUAAUUUCUUUGCUAUCCACUAAAAUAAAUUAAGGUUUGCGAGUAAAAAGUAAAUAUGAGGCAAUCAAUCAUUUAUAUAUAGAUGUGUUAAACAACUUAGAACAUGGCACCUCACAUGGGGAUACCCAGGGCUCAAAGAAAGAGUAGCCAGUCAGUGCUUUUAAUUGGAUAAUCAAGGUAACAGGGAACAUCUAAGUAAAGAAAUAAAUAAUAAAAAAUGCCAGUCACAUGCUCCAAUAAUUGUAAUAAUUUAGAAAUAGGGUUUAAAUGCUCUAAAACGUAAAUGUGAUGUAAAGAAAGCUAAAAUUCAUCUUUCGAACUUUGAAACAAUUUUUUGUUGUUCCAAUUUGCCUGCUCUCUAGUCCAUAUUCUCUGUUGUGUUUCAUAUUGUGACUUUAUUGUUUACAUUCUCUAUUUUGUCAGCCAGG